rnacentral:rRNA from 1 species
GACGAACGCUGGCGGCGCGCCUAACACAUGCAAGUCGAACGAGCGAGAGAGAGCUUGCUUUCUCAAGCGAGUGGCGAACGGGUGAGUAACGCGUGAGGAACCUGCCUCAAAGAGGGGGACAACAGUUGGAAACGACUGCUAAUACCGCAUAAGCCCACAGGUCGGCAUCGACCAGAGGGAAAAGGAGCAAUCCGCUUUGAGAUGGCCUCGCGUCCGAUUAGCUAGUUGGUGAGGUAACGGCCCACCAAGGCAACGAUCGGUAGCCGGACCGAGAGGUUGAACGGCCACAUUGGGACUGAGACACGGCCCAGACUCCUACGGGAGGCAGCAGUGGGGAAUAUUGCACAAUGGGGGAAACCCUGAUGCAGCGACGCCGCGUGGAGGAAGAAGGUCUUCGGAUUGUAAACUCCUGUUGUUGAGGAAGAUAAUGACGGUACUCAACAAGGAAGUGACGGCUAACUACGUG